CAGAAAUUGCAGCAGGGGCUAAUUAGAGCAACUAAGUUAGUUAGAUUCCUGUGCAUUUGGAAAGCAGGCUGCAUCCUUUUAAUAGGAUAAUCAAAAUGGAUCACCCCGACUUGUGGAGUUGCUCCAUGGAUACCAGGAGUGCUUCUGCAUGCAGUCUAAAUGGGGUAAUGGGACAAGGAUGAUGGAUCCCUGAGCGUGAUGCAGCCCAUCCUCAGGGUCAGAUCCUGCCAAGCACUGGACACCUUCACUUCUCACAGGAGCAGAGGUAGCUCCGAGCAGCUGAGAACUUGGUAGGACUGAGCCUGGUGGAUAAAGCCCUUUUUCCACAGCCAUAUUAUCAGCCAGUGCUCAACUCACCCCCAAGACGCACAGUUGGGGAUUUUUAAGACUCACAGUCAUGGUCUUAAACUAAAUUACAAACCAUUUGGCCUCAACCAAGUCUGACUUGCUUCAAUUCCAUCAGGCUGUUUCGAAUUUUCCCCAACAUGCAGCCUUAGCCUACAACUAAUGUGAAACACAUUGGGAAGGUCAACAGACCUGUCCCCAGCUCCCUCUCCUUGUCACUGCUCCCCACGGUACAGUCUUUACACUUAGACCCUGCCUUGGUUCCUACACAAGUAGUUUGGUCACAGUAGAUAACCACACCUGGGGUACAACUCACCCCCAACACAACUCUUUACCCUUGAAGGAUGAGAGCCUCGAUGGAUCUGAUUCUCUUGGGCUCCACACAAGGAGCCCUGGCAGAAAUGCUGGAGACAAGAUCUAUCCACUCAAAUUCGGAGAUCAGGACGCGUUUUGGAAGCCUCACUUUCUGCCACAGAGCAUUGCUUGCUUGCUUUUUCUAAAGCUGGAUGAAAAAUUAUCCUGUCCUAAAACCACAGAUGGAACCGAACACAUCUAAAUGCUUCUCACGGACUUCUGUGCAGCAACAGCAGCACCUGAACUAUCAGAAAAAUGUGUUUUCUGCUCUGUUUAAUUCCCAUCAUUAAAUAUCGUGCUUUUGUAAUGAAUGUGGCCCGGUUAUAGCUCCCUUUGUUUCUCCAAGCAGUGUUUAUCUCUUGUCGCUUCCCAAAUGAAAACAACCAAACAAAACAACCCCCUGCCAGCAAGGCAGAGCCCAAACUUAUAUGUAGGACACGGCUCCAUCUCCAAGCUCCCACCGAAGCCAGCAGGGACUCAAGGGUUCGGAUGAGAUAAGACUUGCAAUAUCUGACCCUGUGUCCCUCAGCUGUAAUCUAUAAAUGCUUUUUAUAGCCCCGAGACAUCAAACUCUGCUAACAGAGCUUUUCAGCUCAUCUGUGCUUACCACAAGUCCAACCGUGUUUUUACGGAGCCUUCCUUGAAACCCAGUUCCUGAAAUCAC
rnacentral:lncRNA from 1 species